rnacentral:rRNA from 1 species
AUUGAACGCUGGCGGCAUGCCUUACACAUGCAAGUCGAACGGUAACAGGUCUUCGGAUGCUGACGAGUGGCGAACGGGUGAGUAAUACAUCGGAACGUGCCUAGUAGUGGGGGAUAACUACUCGAAAGAGUGGCUAAUACCGCAUGAGAUCUACGGAUGAAAGCAGGGGAUCGCAAGACCUUGUGCUACUAGAGCGGCCGAUGGCAGAUUAGGUAGUUGGUGGGAUAAAAGCUUACCAAGCCGACGAUCUGUAGCUGGUCUGUGAGGACGAUCAGCCACACUGGGACUGAGACACGGCCCAGACUCCUACGGGAGGCAGCAGUGGGGAAUUUUGGACAAUGGGCGCCAGCCUGAUCCAGCAAUGCCGCGUGCAGGAUGAAGGCCUUCGGGUUGUAAACUGCUUUUGUACGGAACGAAAAGCCCUGGGUUAAUACCCUGGGGUCAUGACGGUACCGUAAGAAUAAGCACCAGCUAACUACGUGCCAGCCGCCGCUGUAAAAC